rnacentral:misc_RNA from 1 species
GGGACAUUUGCCACAAAAUGACAAGACCCAAACAAUGGGCUGUGAUGACUGAUUAUUUUCCUCCAUAUUGAUCAAAUAUCAAACAAAAUGAAAGGCUAUCAUGCAUAAUUUGGAUAAUUUUCUAGAGAAAUUAUUUGAAUAAUGCUAGUGACAGUGACCCAAAAUCCCAAAAUUCAGCAUAAGUAUCAAUUAUAGUUAUUCUUUUUCUUUUCAAUCUAUUGUACAUUCCUACUUGAUAUCAAUUAUGGCCAA